rnacentral:rRNA from 1 species
AAUAGAUACCCAGGUAGUCCACGCCGUAAACGAUGAGUGCUAAGUGUUAGGGGGUUUCCGCCCCUUAGUGCUGCAGCUAACGCAUUAAGCACUCCGCCUGGGGAGUACGGUCGCAAGACUGAAACUCAAAGGAAUUGACGGGGGCCCGCACAAGCGGUGGAGCAUGUGGUUUAAUUCGAAGCAACGCGAAGAACCUUACCAGGUCUUGACAUCCCGCUGACCGCUAUGGAGACAUAGCUUUCCCUUCGGGGACAGCGGUGACAGGUGGUGCAUGGUUGUCGUCAGCUCGUGUCGUGAGAUGUUGGGUUAAGUCCCGCAACGAGCGCAACCCUUGUCCUUAGUUGCCAUCAUUCAGUUGGGCACUCUAAGGAGACUGCCGGCUAAAAGUCGGAGGAAGGUGGGGAUGACGUCAAAUCAUCAUGCCCCUUAUGACCUGGGCUACACACGUGCUACAAUGGACGGUACAAACGGUUGCGAAGUCGCGAGAUGGAGCUAAUCCGAGAAAACCGUUCUCAGUUCGGAUUGCAGG